rnacentral:lncRNA from 1 species
AACAGCUGGAAUGGAUUACGCUAUCCAAUGAUCACAGUAAACCUGUGAACCAUAUGAGACUACCCUCGGAAGAACUCCAGGAUUCAAGUCAACUGUACCAAAGGCACGGCCCAAACUAAACAGCCUCUACAGUCGUGGCUGUGACUCUCGUUGUCUCUGCGGAUAGGAUUCCUCGAGUACUGGUAUCAAGAAGAACAGACAUAGGCCAUCUUUCUGGGGAUGAGAGACUUGCUGUUUUUAGAUGGUUCCAGUGCUUCGUGCCAUUGGGCUCUCACAAUAAACCCACUGUCAUCAUGGUUACAAGGC